AUUUCCCUAAGGACAACAGCACAUUGGAACAGAAGACAACGUAAGCUGAGCUGUAUAUAAAGAUGAUGUACAAUUCGCGUCUGUUACUUACGGCUGUAGCAGCAUUCUAAGCAGAAGGUGCUUCAUCUGCGACAGCGAAAAUGGCUGCAGUCCGAAUGCUGUUCAUGGCAUCGUUGCUAGUUAGCGCAUUCAACUUCAACAACGGUACGAAGAGAAAGAAAACGGAACUGUUAUCCGACAUCUGCUCGACCGCUUUCAGCGAGCAGGACAAUAAAACACGCGAGGAAUAUUAUAAUCGCGUCCGGGAUCCCAACAAACACAUCUCAACCCGUCUGGUGCGCUACUUUACGUUUGGUGGCAUUCUGCAGGCAAUUUCGGAGCUUACCGGAAUCCCGCGCGUUGAGCUAGUGGCGGGAGGGUCGAGCCAAUUGCAGGAUAAGACUAGUGGCCUUGGGGGUAUGAAGCACGCGGCACACAUAAUUCGCGUAGGAACCAUUAGUCGUAAACUAAUGGACGCGAAUGAAUCACUGAACAGAGCGUUGGAGAACUAUAUUGGACACACGCAAAACGUGCUUCGUGACGUUAACGUGUGGUCCGGCAUUGGAGGAGCAUUAGAUCGGUAUCAAUCGAGUAAUCUAACCGUUUUGGCGAAAGUUAACUUUAACGGAACGUUGUGCGAUAAUUGGGAUAGAAUAGUUGCUGUAGCAACACCUUUUCACCAAAUCAUUACUCAGUACGUACUGAAGAAAACGAGUGAAGAUAAAGGCGAGGAAAAAAAGCUUGAAGACGACAAGGUGACAGGGUUUUUGAUAGGACCGGCAAUGUUGUUUGAACAUGGAACGAUGGGAUACCGUAUGGCCAUGAAUGGAACGUUCGAAGCGCAUUAUAAAAGGAGGCAGCAAACUAAAAAGAGACUGCGCGAUCAAUAGUUGCAAGCUAGAAGAAACAGUUCGCAACUCGGUCUGGUUCGCUACUUUACGUUCGGUGGCAUUCUGGAAGCAAUCUCGGAAAAAACCGGGAAUCUCUCGUAGCAAGCUAGUGACAGCCAGGAGGAGCCAGCCAGGUUGAAGAUCGGAGUAGUGGCCUCGAGAACAGUAUCCACGCAGUAGCGCGCAUCAUUCGUGUUGGUGCCAUCGAUUACCGUCUCGAAACAGUGGGUGAGCCUCUGUUGCGAACGCGACAAAAUCAAAUUGAACUUUAAAUAACUAAAUAUCUUUCGUUUAGUAUAAAUUCUCACCGGAAAAUAUUAUUUUAGGAAAACCACCUUAAAUCACAGAGAGGCCUCAUACCGUGAGUAAGACGACAAUAUGGUAACGUGUCAGGGUAUGUCAUAAAAUAUCUCGAAAAAGGGACAAUAUCCAGACAUAUGGAAUAAACCUAUGCACUUGAGCUA